rnacentral:rRNA from 1 species
GACGAACGCUGGCGGCGUGGAUUAGGCAUGCAAGUCGAACGGUAUCAUCCUUUCGGGGGUGAGAGAGUGGCGAACUGGUGAGUAACACGUAGGUUAUCUACCCUCAAGACGGGGACAACCCAGGGAAACUUGGGCUAAUACCGGAUGUGAGCAACUUUUAGUUGUUUGAAAGGUGGCGUAAGCUGUCGCUUGGGGAUGAGCCUGCGUCCUAUUAGUUAGUUGGUGAGGUAACGGCUCACCUAGGCAAUGAUAGGUAGGCGGCCUUAACGGGUGGUCGCCCACACUGGGAUUGAGAUACGGCCCAGACUCCUACGGGAGGCAGCAGUCGAGAAUAGUCUACAAUGGACGGAAGUCUGAUAGUGCGACGCCGCGUGAACGAAGAAUCCCUUCGGGGUGUAAAGUUCUUUAUACGUGAGCAGUGCCCUUUAUAUGAAUAGUAUAGAGGGAGGAUUUAAGCGUAUGAAUAAGCAACGGCUAACUCCGUGCCAGCAGCCGCGGUAAACUGUCUACG